CUCCUGCCUCCAGGUCCCUGCCUUGAGUUUCUGCCUUGACUUCCUUCAGUUGUGGCCUGUGAUGUGGAAGUGAAAAAGAGGCAGCUGGCACUGUGGCAACCUCCUUGGGGUUCCCAGUCUACAGAAUCUUGAGUCAAAGUCAUCUGUGUCAGUUAUCAAGCCUCAGGCAUCAUGUCACGGUCACAGAGCUUCAGCACGGGCUGAAAUUGGAAAUACAUGUUUUUAAGAGUCAGAAAGUACUUCAGCGUUGCAGCUCACAGAGGAAAUGAGCUAUGCAGAGGGAACUGGGAAGACCAUCGGGAGGAGACCACUGAAGGGGACCCUAGCCUGACAUUUCAGAAAGUAGAUAUCUGUCCCUCCUGACUGGAAUGCCCUCUCAUGCCAUGGAGCACUCUCUUCAGGGAAUCUUGGGUUCUUUCUCCAUGUCACUUCAUUCACACGUCCAGUCCUUGCCCAGGAAGGCUGCUGCGGCUCAAGCCAUCACAUCCACACCCCAGCUGCAGAAGGAGUUAGAGAAGCUGCUCCUGAGGGGCAUGCCUGUGAGACUGUACACACCGCAUCCUCCCACUUACACUUCUUUGGCCAGAAGACAGCUGGACUUUGCGAGGAAGACUAGUCUUUAUUUUGGGAGUCCACAUGUUUGGUUCACAGGACAUAACAUGGUAUUGGAGUCACCACGGAAACCAAGGGUCAUCACUCUGUUCUCAGCUCACAAGGCUUCUUCUUUUUCUGUCUCUCCAUACUAGUUUUUAAACCAAGGUUGCAGAAGAGUUCAGCACCCUCUUUUCUUUCUCACCAAGACCUGAGGCACUCGACUGAAUGUGAGCCUGAAGUUUAGUGAUUUGGUGAGGUGCUUUUAGCAUUGCGGCAGAUCUGGCCUCCUGACAUCACAAGAACCAAUGGGCAUGGAGAAAACAUCCCUCAUCACCAUGGCAACUGGUGCAAACUAGUUCCCACCUAUGUUUCCAGGCUAGGGACUCUGUACAGAGCCUACCUGUAUCCUAGCAACAGGAGGAUGCUACAGUUGACUUUGGUUUUCCAAAUGGCCUGGAAAUGGUUUUCCCUCCUGCCCCACCUCCCACAUCCCUUCUUUCUGUUGUUUCUCAGGUGCAAAGCUGUUGAAGUCAGAGCCUGAAAGAAACAAGUGGGAAGAGAGAAUGUAGGACAUUAGUGAUGCUGGGGGCAGAGGUGUGUGCAAGUUGGGCCAGCAGGAAACGUGAAGCAUGAAUCUUAGGGAAGGGGAUGAAUUUUAUUCACAGAUGAGGCGUGGGAAAUAGGUCAGGGGUGAACUACAAGUUCUUUACCCUGUGAAAUAUCUCAAUGUAAGGCGAUCAGCCAUGUCUCAUCUUUGAAUACAGAAGAUGAAGGGUCAUUGUUGCAGCUCUGUGCCACGGUGCUGAUGUCCUGAAGCUCACUGAGUGAGUGAAUCCUCUGUGAACCCAACAUUCUGAAUUCACUUAAUCCCUAAGGCUCAUUCUGUAAGACAGAGAGAUGACAGACAGACAGGCAGAUAGAUGGUGGGUAGAGAGAUGACAGACAGACAGAUGUGCAGUAGAUAAAUGACAGACAAGUAGAUAGAUUGAUAUAUAAAUUUGCAUCUAAUGCUAAUUAGAACAGGUAGAUCAGUGAAAUAGAACAUAAAAGCCCACAAAACUCCAACGUGUGAAACUUGAUGUAUCAUGUGCUAAAUGGUAUGCCUGUUUUAGUGGAGGUGUGGAUGAGGGAGAGAAUGUUCUAGAAGGUGAGUUACAGUUGGCUCAUAUACACAUACAAAGAGAUGUAUAACCUCAGAGAAAAGUAAAUCAAAGCCACACUGCAAUACUGUUCUUUUGUACUUAGUAAAAUCUUCAAAGUCCAAUAAAAGACAGUACUGUUGUUACUUGGCUAAACCGCCAUGGAGGACAGGAUCUUUUGAAAUAAUGAGUUAUUAUUAAGUUUCAAUAGUCCAUUUCCACAGCAUGUCCGAGAGGCGUACUCACACAUGUGAAGUUGAUAGAGACCAAAGGGUGAUUACAGUUCUCUAGACAUCUGUAGAAAUGUAGAAGGCUGUAGGGACUUGAUACCAUCAGAUAGUACAGACCCCAGGGUCUAAGAAGAGCCUGAUUCCACUCGUACAGGAACACAGGAAAGAGGCAAUAGUGAGGCUGUGGACAUCCCAAAUUCCAAGGGUACACAUAG
rnacentral:lncRNA from 1 species